UGAGGAAUAUUGGUCAAUGGGCGGGAGCCUGAACCAGCCAAGUCGCGUGAAGGAAGAAGGAUCUAUGGUUCGUAAACUUCUCUUGCAGGGGAAUAAAGUGCGGGACGUGUCCUGUUUUGUAUGUACCACGAGAAUAAGGAUCGGCUAACUCCGCGCCAGCAGCCGCGGUAAUACGGAGGAUCCGAGCGUUAUCCGGAUUUAUUGGGUUUAAAGGGUGCGUAGGUGGUUUGAUAAGUCAGCGGUGAAAGUUUGCAGCUUAACUGUAAAAAUGCCGUUGAAGCUGUCGGACUUGAGUGUAAAUGAGGUAGGCGGAAUGCGGGGUGUAGCGGUGAAAUGCAUAGAUAUCACGCAGAACUCCGAUUGCGAAUGCAGCUUACUAAGCUACAACUUACACUGAAGCACGAAAGCGUGGGGAUCAAACA
rnacentral:rRNA from 1 species